rnacentral:rRNA from 1 species
ACUCAAAGGAAUAGACGGGGACCCGCACAACCUGUGGAGCGUGUGGUUCAAUUCGAGACGAAACGAAGGACCUCACCAGGGCUUGACAUGCUACCGUACAUUUUUCCAGAAAUGGAGAGAAAUCCGCAAGGAUGGUAGCACAGGUGCUGCAUGGCUGUCGUCAGCUCGUGCCGUGAGGUGUUCCCUUAAGUGGGGAAACGAGCGCAACCCCCAUCCAAUGUUACAUUCCAUUGGAAACGGUCCCAGUUUUACUGGGAAGGAAGGAGGGGUAGACGUCAAGUCAGCACGGCCCUUAUGCCCUGGGCCACACACACACUACAAUGGCGAAAAACAAUGAGCCGCAAGUACGCAAGUGCAAGCAAAUCUCUGAAAUUUCGCCUCAGUUCAGAUUGGGGUCUGCAACCCGACCCCAUGAAGCCGGAAUAGGUAGUAAUCGCGGAUCAGCAAGCCGCGGUGAAUACGUUCUCGGGUCUUGCACACACCGCCCGU